rnacentral:rRNA from 1 species
AUUGAACGCUGGCGGCAUGCCUUACACAUGCAAGUCGAACGGCAGCGCGGGAGCAAUCCUGGCGGCGAGUGGCGAACGGGUGAGUAAUACAUCGGAACGUGCCCAAUCGUGGGGGAUAACGCAGCGAAAGCUGUGCUAAUACCGCAUACGAUCUACGGAUGAAAGCAGGGGAUCGCAAGACCUUGCGCGAAUGGAGCGGCCGAUGGCAGAUUAGGUAGUUGGUGAGGUAAAGGCUCACCAAGCCUUCGAUCUGUAGCUGGUCUGAGAGGACGACCAGCCACACUGGGACUGAGACACGGCCCAGACUCCUACGGGAGGCAGCAGUGGGGAAUUUUGGACAAUGGGCGAAAGCCUGAUCCAGCCAUGCCGCGUGCAGGAUGAAGGCCUUCGGGUUGUAAACUGCUUUUGUACGGAACGAAACGGUCUUUUCUAAGAAAGAAGGCUAAUGACGGUACCGUAAGAAGAAGCACCGGCUAACUACGU